rnacentral:misc_RNA from 1 species
UAAUAAAUGGACAGUCAGAAAGAAUCAUAUAAACUCUAGAAGAUAUGCUAAGGAUGUGUGCAUUUGAAUUUGGAGGAUCACAAAAGAAAUAUCUUCCUCUAGUUGAGUUUGCAUACAACAACAACUAUCACAACUAUCACUCUAGUAUCAAAAUAGCACCGUAUGAAGUUCUAUGUGGGAGAAAAUGUAAAUAUCCAAAAUGUUGGGAAGAAGUUAGAGAGAGCGCUCUGGCAGGCAUUGAGUAAGUAGAGAUCACUAAUAAGGUGAUGUCUUUGAUCAAAGUAAGGUUAAGGAAAACAACAAGCAGACAAAAGAGUUAUGCAAAUCUUCACAGAAAGGAAGUGGUGUUUCAAGA